rnacentral:rRNA from 1 species
AACGAACGCUGGCGGCAGGCUUAACACAUGCAAGUCGAGCGCCCCGCAAGGGGAGCGGCAGACGGGUGAGUAACGCGUGGGAAUCUACCUAUCACUACGGAACAACUCCGGGAAACUGGAGCUAAUACCGUAUACGUCCGAGAGGAGAAAGAUUUAUCGGUGAUAGAUGAGCCCGCGUUGGAUUAGCUAGUUGGUGGGGUAAUGGCCUACCAAGGCGACGAUCCAUAGCUGGUCUGAGAGGAUGAUCAGCCACACUGGGACUGAGACACGGCCCAGACUCCUACGGGAGGCAGCAGUGGGGAAUAUUGGACAAUGGGCGAAAGCCUGAUCCAGCCAUGCCGCGUGAGUGAUGAAGGCCUUAGGGUUGUAAAGCUCUUUCACCGGUGAAGAUAAUGACGGUAACCGGAGAAGAAGCCCCGGCUAACUUCGUGCCAGCAGCCGCGGUAAU